UAGCUCAGUCGGUAAAGAAUCUACCUGCAAUGCAGAAGACCCAGGUUCAAUUCCUGG
rfam:TPA: Bos taurus chromosome 19, whole genome shotgun sequence.